rnacentral:rRNA from 1 species
UACUUACUAGCUAGCACAGCUAAC